UACAGAGGUCCCAAGCGUUGUUCGGAUUCACUGGGCGUAAAGGGUGCGUAGGUGGUGGGGUAAGUCGGAUGUGAAAUCUCCGGGCUCAACCCGGAAAUGGCAUUGGAAACUACCUUGCUGGAGGAUUUGAGGGGGGAUUGGAAUACUUGGUGUAGCAGUGAAAUGCGUAGAUAUCAAGUGGAACACCAGUGGCGAAGGCGAAUCCCUGGAAAAUACCUGACACUGAGGCACGAAAGCUAGGGGAGCAAACGGG
rnacentral:rRNA from 1 species